GGGUUAACCCUAAACUAACCCUUACCCAUAUAAUAAAAUUGGAAUGAAGAUAGAAGAUUAGCAUGGCCCCUGCACAAGGAUGGCAUGCAAAUUCGUAAAGCGUUCCUCAUUUUC
ensembl:snRNA U6 U6 spliceosomal RNA